GAGUUAGCGACAGGGAGGGAUGCGCGCCUGGGUGUAGUUGUGGGGGAGGAAGUGGCUAGCUCAGGGCUUCAGGGGACAGACAGGGAGAGAUGACUGAGUUAGAUGAGACGAGGGGGCGGGCUGGGGGUGCGAGAAGGAAGCUUGGCAAGGAGACUAGGUCUAGGGGGACCACAGUGGGGCAGGCUGCAUGGAAAAUAUCCGCAGGGUCCCCCAGGCAGAACAGCCACGCUCCAGGCCAGGCUGUCCCUACUGCCUGGUGGAGGGGGAACUUGACCUCUGGGAGGGCGCCGCUCUUGCAUAGCUGAGCGAGCCCGGGUGCGCUGGUCUGUGUGGAAGGAGGAAGGCAGGGAGAGGUAGAAGGGGUGGAGGAGUCAGGAGGAAUAGGCCGCAGCAGCCCUGGAAAUGAUCAGGAAGGCAGGCAGUGGGUGCAGGGCUGCAGGAGGGCCGGGAGGGCUAAUCUUCAACUUGUCCAUGCCAGCAGCCCCUUUUUUUCCAGACCAAGGGCUGUGAACCCGCCUGGGGAUGAGGCCUGGUCUUGUGGAACUGAACUUAGCUCGACGGGGCUGACCGCUCUGGCCCAGGGUGGUAUGUAAUUUUCGCUCGGCCUGGGACGGGGCCCAGGCCGGGCCCAGCCUGGUGGAGCGUCCAGGUCUGGGUGCGAAGCCAGGCCCCUGGGCGGAGGUGAGGGGUGGUCUGAGGAGUGAUGUGGAGUUAAGGCGCCAUCCUCACCGGUGACUGGUGCGGCACCUAGCAUGUUUGACAGGCGGGGACUGCGAGGCACGCUGCUCGGGUGUUGGGGACAACAUUGACCAACGCUUUAUUUUCCAGGUGGCAGUGCUCCUUUUGGACUUUUCUCUAGGUUUGGCGCUAAACUCUUCUUGUGAGCUCACUCCACCCCUUCUUCCUCCCUUUAACUUAUCCAUUCACUUAAAACAUUACCUGGUCAUCUGGUAAGCCCGGGACAGUAAGCCGAGUGGCUGUUGGAGUCGGUAUUGUUGGUAAUGGUGGAGGAAGAGAGGCCUUCCCGCUGAGGCUGGGGUGGGGCGGAUCGGUGUUGCUUGCCUGCAGAGAGGGUGGGGAGUGAAUGUGCACCCUUGGGUGGGCCUGCAGCCAUCCAGCUGAAAGUUACAAAAAUGCUUCAUGGACCGUGGUUUGUUACUAUAGUGUUCCUCAUGGCGAGCAGAUGGAACCGGGAGACAUGGAGUCCCUGGCCAGUGUGAGUCCUAGCAUUGCAGGAGGGGAGACCCUGGAGGAGAGAGCCCGCCUCAAUUGAUGCCUGCAGAUUGAAUUUCCAGAGGCUUAGGAGGAGGAAGUUCUCCAAUGUUCUGUUUCCAGGCCUUGCUCAGGAAGCCCUGUAUUCAGGAGGCUACCAUUUAAAGUUUGCAGAUGAGCUUAUGGGGGGCAAUCUUAAAAAGUCCACAGCAGAUGCAUCCGGCUCGAGGGGCCAUCAGCUUUGAAUAAAUGCUUGUUCCAGAGCCCAUGAAUGCCAGCAGGCACCCCUCCUUUCCUGGGGUAAAGGUUUUCAGAUGCUGCAUCUUCUAAAUUGAGCCUCCGGUCAUACUAGUUUUGUGCUUGGAACCUUGCUUCAAGAAGAUCCCUAAGCUGUAGAACAUUUUAACGUUGAUGCCACAACGCAGAUUGAUGCCUUGUAGAUGGAGCUUGCAGAUGGAGCCCCGUGACCUCUCACCUACCCACCUGUUUGCCUGCCUUCUUGUGCGUUUCUCGGAGAAGUUCUUAGCCUGAUGAAAUAACUUGGGGCGUUGAAGAGCUGUUUAAUUUUAAAUGCCUUAGACUGGGGAUAUAUUAGAGGAAGCAGAUUGUCAAAUUAAGGGUGUCAUUGUGUUGUGCUAAACGCUGGGAGGGUACAAGUUGGUCAUUCCUAAAUCUGUGUGUGAGAAAUGGCAGGUCUAGUUUGGGCAUUGUGAUUGCAUUGCAGAUUACUAGGAGAAGGGAAUGGUGGGUACACCGGUAGUGCUCUUUUGUUCUUGCUUCGUUUUUUUAAACUUGAACUUUACUUCGUUAGAUUUCAUAAUACUUUCUUGGCAUUCUAGUAAGAGGACCCUGAGGUGGGAGUUGUGGGGGACGGGGAGAAGGGGACAGCUUGGCACCGGUCCCGUGGGCGUUGCAGUGUGGGGGAUGGGGGUAUGCAGCUUGGCACUGGUACUGGGAGGGAUGAGGGUGAAGAAGGGGAGAGGGUUGGUUGAAGGGAAUUCUCUGGGGCUUUGGGGAAUUUAGUGCGUGGGUGAGCCAAGAAAAUACUAAUUAAUAAUAGUAAGUUGUUAGUGUUGGUUAAGUUGUUGCUUGGAAGUGAGAAGUUGCUUAGAAACUUUCCAAAGUGCUUAGAACUUUAAGUGCAAACAGACAAACUAACAAACAAAAAUUGUUUUGCUUUGCUACAAGGUGGGGAAGACUGAAGAAGUGUUAACUGAAAACAGGUGACACAGAGUCACCAGUUUUCCGAGAACCAAAGGGAGGGGUGUGUGAUGCCAUCUCACAGGCAGGGGAAAUGUCUUUACCAGCUUCCUCCUGGUGGCCAAGACAGCCUGUUUCAGAGGGUUGUUUUGUUUGGGGUGUGGGUGUUAUCAAGUGAAUUAGUCACUUGAAAGAUGGGCGUCAGACUUGCAUACGCAGCAGAUCAGCAUCCUUCGCUGCCCCUUAGCAACUUAGGUGGUUGAUUUGAAACUGUGAAGGUGUGAUUUUUUCAGGAGCUGGAAGUCUUAGAAAAGCCUUGUAAAUGCCUAUAUUGUGGGCUUUUAACGUAUUUAAGGGACCACUUAAGACGAGAUUAGAUGGGCUCUUCUGGAUUUGUUCCUCAUUUGUCACAGGUGUCUUGUGAUUGAAAAUCAUGAGCGAAGUGAAAUUGCAUUGAAUUUCAAGGGAAUUUAGUAUGUAAAUCGUGCCUUAGAAACACAUCUGUUGUCUUUUCUGUGUUUGGUCGAUAUUAAUAAUGGCAAAAUUUUUGCCUAUCUAGUAUCUUCAAAUUGUAGUCUUUGUAACAACCAAAUAACCUUUUGUGGUCACUGUAAAAUUAAUAUUUGGUAGACAGAAUCCAUGUACCUUUGCUAAGGUUAGAAUGAAUAAUUUAUUGUAUUUUUAAUUUGAAUGUUUGUGCUUUUUAAAUGAGCCAAGACUAGAGGGGAAACUAUCACCUAAAAUCAGUUUGGAAAACAAGACCUAAAAAGGGAAGGGGAUGGGGAUUGUGGGGAGAGAGUGGGCGAGGUGCCUUUACUACAUGUGUGAUCUGAAAACCCUGCUUGGUUCUGAGCUGCGUCUAUUGAAUUGGUAAAGUAAUACCAAUGGCUUUUUAUCAUUUCCUUCUUCCCUUUAAGUUUCACUUGAAAUUUUAAAAAUCAUGGUUAUUUUUAUCGUUGGGAUCUUUCUGUCUUCUGGGUUCCAUUUUUUAAAUGUUUAAAAAUAUGUUGACAUGGUAGUUCAGUUCUUAACCAAUGACUUGGGGAUGAUGCAAACAAUUACUGUCGUUGGGAUUUAGAGUGUAUUAGUCACGCAUGUAUGGGGAAGUAGUCUCGGGUAUGCUGUUGUGAAAUUGAAACUGUAAAAGUAGAUGGUUGAAAGUACUGGUAUGUUGCUCUGUAUGGUAAGAACUAAUUCUGUUACGUCAUGUACAUAAUUACUAAUCACUUUUCUUCCCCUUUACAGCACAAAUAAA
rnacentral:lncRNA from 1 species